GUUAGGACUACAGCACGUUUUCUUCAAAUAGAGUAGGGCUGCUUUUUUCUCUUUUAUGCAUACAUUAACUUCCUGGUAAAUUUUUUAUUUGAAUUAUGAUAAUAGCACACACCUACAUAAUACUUAACUUUAUGCCAGCUGUUGUUUUCAACACCUCAUAUUAUCUCAUUUAAUUCUCAAAACAACCUUUGAGGUAGAUGUUCGUAUCUUCAUUUUACAUAAGUUAAAGCACAGAGAGGUUAAGUAACUUGUUCACGAUUCCACAACUAGGAAGUGGUAAAACUGGAAUUUGAGCUCAGACAGUGAUUUUAACUACUAUAGUAUAUUGUCUCUAACUGAAGAAAAGAAUGCCUUGGCUUUUGGUAAGUUUGAAAACCAUUGAUAUUUAAUAUUGGAAAUUUGGGGCACAAACUUGUGCAAAGAUUCGGUAAUGUCAGAAAGGUGUCAGCUUGAGAUUGUAGUUUUGAUUUUUUCAACAUUUCUGUAUUUUUAAUUGUUUCAGCAUUUCAAUUACUUUUUAGUAACUCACCCUGUAAUUUUCAAGCACUUCCUCGCCAUCGGGUGGUAGAAGACAGUUGUAAAUCAUGUGAUUCAUAAAGCUUGAGGCAUACACCAAAAUGUCUUUUUAAAUUUCAAAUUUAUUUUAGGUACAGGGGAUACAUGUGCAGGUUUGUUACAAGGAAAUAUUGCAUGAUGCUGAGGUCUGGAGUAUGGAUCCCAUUACCCAGGUGCUGUAAGGAAACUGCCUACGGCUCCUUUCCCAGGAUAAUAAGUGUAUCUCCAGGACCUGGUAUACUUGUUAUGCGUUCUGGAUCCCUACAUGGUAUUUAAGUCAGAGCAAGAGAACAAGGGCUGUGGAAAACAAGUGGACUUCAGAUUUGGCCUAAUGGCAGGCAGUGGUCCAGUUUCAUUCCUCUGGAAAACCACAGACGACAUUAUGCUGAACAGGCAAAAGCAUUGCCUUGGAGAACUGGAACAAGACAAAGAUGCCCACUGUCACCACUCCCAUUCAACAUAGUAAUGACUGAAACUUGCCAUCACUUUAAGUGAGAUAACACAGACAUAGAGAAACUUUUCUGUACUAAUUUUAUGCUUCAUUUUAUCCUACUUUUCUAGUUUUCAAGAUUCAUUAUUAGGUUGUUUAUCUGAGGUUUUUCUUUUUUGAUGUAGGCACUUAUUGCUGUAAGAUUCCC
rnacentral:lncRNA from 1 species